GUCGAACGGAAAGGCCCUUCGGGGUACUCGAGUGGCGAACGGGUGAGUAACACGUGGGUGAUCUGCCCUGCACUUUGGGAUAAGCCUGGGAAACUGGGUCUAAUACCGAAUAGGACCGCAUGCUUCAUGGUGUGUGGUGGAAAGCUUUUGCGGUGUGGGAUGGGCCCGCGGCCUAUCAGCUUGUUGGUGAGGUAAUGGCUUACCAAGGCGACGACGGGUAGCCGGCCUGAGAGGGUGACCGGCCACACUGGGACUGAGAUACGGCCCAGACUCCUACGGGAGGCAGCAGUGGGGAAUAUUGCACAAUGGGCGCAAGCCUGAUGCAGCGACGCCGCGUGAGGGAUGACGGCCUUCGGGUUGUAAACCUCUUUCGCCAGGGACGAAGCGCAAGUGACGGUACCUGGAGAAGAAGGACCGGCCAACUACGUGCCAGCAGCCGCGGUAAUACGUAGGGUCCGAGCGUUGUCCGGAAUUACUGGGCGUAAAGAGCUCGUAGGUGGUUUGUCGCGUUGUUCGUGAAAACUCACAGCUUAACUGUGGGCGUGCGGGCGAUACGGGCAGACUUGAGUACUGCAGGGGAGACUGGAAUUCCUGGUGUAGCGGUGGAAUGCGCAGAUAUCAGGAGGAACACCGGUGGCGAAGGCGGGUCUCUGGGCAGUAACUGACGCUGAGGAGCGAAAGCGUGGGGAGCGAACAGGAUUAGAUACCCUGGUAGUCCACGCCGUAAACGGUGGGUACUAGGUGUGGGUUUCCUUCCUUGGGAUCCGUGCCGUAGCUAACGCAUUAAGUACCCCGCCUGGGGAGUACGGCCGCAAGGCUAAAACUCAAAGAAAUUGACGGGGGCCCGCACAAGCGGCGGAGCAUGUGGAUUAAUUCGAUGCAACGCGAAGAACCUUACCUGGGUUUGACAUGCACAGGACGCCGGCAGAGAUGUCGGUUCCCUUGUGGCCUGUGUGCAGGUGGUGCAUGGCUGUCGUCAGCUCGUGUCGUGAGAUGUUGGGUUAAGUCCCGCAACGAGCGCAACCCUUGUCUCAUGUUGCCAGCACGUUAUGGUGGGGACUCGUGAGAGACUGCCGGGGUCAACUCGGAGGAAGGUGGGGAUGACGUCAAGUCAUCAUGCCCCUUAUGUCCAGGGCUUCACACAUGCUACAAUGGCCGGUACAAAGGGCUGCGAUGCCGUGAGGUGGAGCGAAUCCUUUCAAAGCCGGUCUCAGUUCGGAUCGGGGUCUGCAACUCGACCCCGUGAAGUCGGAGUCGCUAGUAAUCGCAGAUCAGCAACGCUGCGGUGAAUACGUUCCCGGGCCUUGUACACACCGCCCGUCACGUCAUGAAAGUCGGUAACACCCGAA
rnacentral:rRNA from 2 species